AAACCAUCAAGCCCAGCUUGGUCUUGGACGCGGUCGAGUGACGCGUCCGCAACCUGUUGGCGGUGCAGUCCGGCUUCAAGCGUAGUAAGAAUUUCGCUUCAGGAGUCCGCGGCGGCGCCCGCCAGGCAAUCACAUCCCAAA
rnacentral:misc_RNA from 1 species